rnacentral:rRNA from 1 species
UACGGAGGAUCCAAGCGUUAUCCGGAUUCAUUGGGUUUAAAGGGUGCGUAGGCGGACUGAUAAGUCAGCGGUGAAAUCCCACGGCUCAACUGUGGAACUGCCGUUGAUACUGUUAGUCUUGAAUGCAGAUGAUGUGGGCGAAUAUGACAUGUAGUGGUGAAAUACUUAGAUAUGUCAUAGAACACCGAUUGCGAAGGCAGCUCACAAAACUGUGAUUGACGCUGAUGCACGAAAGCGUGGGGAUCAAACAGG